rnacentral:rRNA from 1 species
AUGCAUGUCUAAGUAUAAGCAAUUAUACGGCGAAACUGCGAAUGGCUCAUUAAAUCAGUUAUCGUUUAUUUGAUAGUACCUUAUUACUUGGAUAACCGUGGUAAUUCUAGAGCUAAUACAUGCUAAAAAUCCCGACUCACGGAGGGAUGUAUUUAUUAGAUUAAAAACCAAUGCCCCUCGGGGCUUUCAGGUGAUUCAUAAUAACUUCUCGAAUCGCAUGGCCUUGCGCCGGCGAUGGUUCAUUCAAAUUUCUGCCCUAUCAACUUUCGAUGGCAGGGUCUUGGCCUGCCAUGGUUACAACGGGUAACGGAGGGUUAGGGCUCGACCCCGGAGAAGGAGCCUGAGAAACGGCUACUACAUCCAAGGAAGGCAGCAGGCGCGCAAAUUACCCAAUCCCGACACGGGGAGGUAGUGNCAAUAAAUACUGAUACAGGGCUCUUUUGGGUCUUGUAAUUGGAAUGAGUACAAUUUAAAUCCCUUAACGAGGAACAAUUGGAGGGCAAGUCUGGUGCCAGCAGCCGCGGUAAUUCCAGCUCCAAUAGCGUAUAUUAAAGUUGUUGCAGUUAAAAAGCUCGUAGUUGAACCUUGGGCCUGGCUGGCCGGUCCGCCUCACCGCGUGCACUGGUUCGGCCGGGCCUUUCCCUCUGGGGAGCCCUAUGCCCUUCACUGGGUGUAGUGGGGAACCAGGACUUUUACUGUGAAAAAAUUAGAGUGUUCAAAGCAGGCAUAUGCUCGAAUACAUCAGCAUGGAAUAAUAGAAUAGGACGUGUGGUUCUAUUUUGUUGGUUUCUAGGACCGCCGUAAUGAUUAAUAGGGACAGUCGGGGGCAUCAGUAUUCAAUUGUCAGAGGUGAAAUUCUUGGAUUUAUUGAAGACUAACUACUGCGAAAGCAUUUGCCAAGGAUGUUUUCAUUAAUCAGGAACGAAAGUUAGGGGAUCGAAGACGAUCAGAUACCGUCGAUGUCUUAACCA